UACGAAGGGUGCAAACGUUGCUCGGAAUUAUUGGGCGUAAAGCGCACGUAGGCGGCUUGGCAAGUCGGAUGUGAAAUCCCUCGGCUCAACCAAGGAAGUGCAUCCGAAACUGCUAAGCUUGAGUACUUAAGAGGAUCGCGGAAUUCCCGGUGUAGAGGUGAAAUUCGUAGAUAUUCGGAGGAACACCAGUGGCGAAGGCGGCUCACUGGUCCAUUACUGACGCUGAGGUGCGAAAGCGUGGGGAGCAAACAGG
rnacentral:rRNA from 1 species